rnacentral:rRNA from 1 species
AGCCAUGCGAGUUGUACGUAUAACGUAGCAAACUGCUCAGUAACACGUGGCCAAACUGCCCUAUGGACUAGGAUAACCUCGGGAAACUGAGGCUAAUCCUGGAUAGUACAUCCAGCCUGGAACUGGCGGAUGUAUCAAACGCUCCGGCGCCAUAGGAUGUGGCUGCGGCCGAUUAGGUAGACGGUGGGGUAACGGCCCACCGUGCCGAUAAUCGGUACGGGUCAUGAGAGUGAGAGCCCGGAGACGGACUCUGAGACACGAGUCCGGGCCCUACGGGGCGCAGCAGGCGCGAAACCUUUACACUGCACGCCAGUGCGAUAGGGGGACACCGAGUGCGAGGGCAUAGAGCCCUCGCUUUUCUGUACCGUAAGGUGGUACAGGAACAAGGGCUGGGCAAGACCGGUGCCAGCCGCCGCGGUAACACCGGCAGCCCAAGUGAUGGCCGAUAUUAUUGGGCCUAAAGCGUCCGUAGCUGGCCGAGCAAGUUCGUCGGGAAAUCCACUCGCUUAACGAGUGGGCGUCCGGCGAAAACUGUUCGGCUUGGGACCGGAAGACCUGAAGGGUACGUCUGGGGUAGGAGUGAAAUCCCGUAAUCUUGGACGGACCACCGAUGGCGAAAGCACUUCAGGAGGACGGAUCCGACAGUGAGGGACGAAAGCUAGGGUCUCGAACCGGAUUAGAUACCCGGGUAGUCCUAGCCGUAAACGAUGCUCGCUAGGUGUGGCACAGGCUACGAGCCUGUGCUGUGCCGUAGGGAAGCCGUGAAGCGAGCCGCCUGGGAAGUACGUCUGCAAGGAUGAAACUUAAAGGAAUUGGCGGGGGAGCACUACAACCGGAGGAGCCUGCGGUUUAAUUGGACUCAACGCCGGACAUCUCACCAGCUCCGACAGCAGUGAUGACGAUCAGGUUGAUGAUCUUAUUCGAGCUGCUGAGAGGAGGUGCAUGGCCGCCGUCAGCUCGUACCGUGAGGCGUCCUGUUAAGUCAGGCAACGAGCGAGACCCGCACCUCUAGUUGCCAGCAGCAUCUCCCGAUGGCUGGGUA